rnacentral:rRNA from 1 species
UACGUAGGGGGCAAGCGUUGUUCGGAUUUACUGGGCGUAAAGGGCGCGUAGGCGGCCACCGCAAGUCGGUUGUGAAAUCUCCGGGCUUAACCCGGAAAGGUCAAUCGAUACUGCGGGGCUAGAGUGCAGAAGGGGCAACUGGAAUUCUCGGUGUAGCGGUGAAAUGCGUAGAUAUCGAGAGGAACACCUGCGGCGAAGGCGGGUUGCUGGGCUGACACUGACGCUGAAGCGCGAAAGCUAGGGGAGCGAACGGG